CUUUCUUGUGCCUUGGGAUACUGUUAUGAUCAGUAGUCCCAACACAUCUCACUGAAGUACAUUCUACAUUUGGAAAGACUGGUCACUCCUGGCUUUAGAAAGGCUCACAUGAUCUUUAAAAAGCAGUUAAAGUGUAAAUAAAAAGAAAUGCCUGGCAAAAAUACAGAAAAUCUGUGUCAGAAAUAUGAAAUCAGUGCAUUUUCCUGAGGACUUGGUAUAUUUCAGAGAAGCCGAGAGGAAGCAUUAUCAAACCAUGCCACAUAUUCUAUUAAGUUGUUGUGAUGCCAAAACUCCUGGCAAAAUGUAUCAUGCAGCAUAUCUAGCUGCUACCAGGAGAUCAACCUGCUCAGAAGUACUGGAAAAGUCUCAUAUGUGAAGGCAAGUUCUGCAGACAGCUGUGCAAGCCCCAGGGCAGCACUGAAAAAAGUAGUAUUUUGAUUGCAGCAUGCAGUAUUAUUAAGUCAUAUCAAGGAGCUGAUAUUCUUCAGGCUUAAUUUAUAUCAUGCAACACCUGCUGCCUAUAGAUAAGUGUGUGACUUUGCUUCAGCAAAGAGUGGAUAAGAAUGGAGAGAAAAGAGGAAUGGAAGUGGAUAAUGAUGGUAAACCAGAAACAUUAAAAUGGUGACAGAAUGAACUGCUAACAUCAUUAUUUUUGGGGACUAUGCAUUCCAGCCAGAGAGUAUCUCAAAAAGAAUAUUUUUGAAAAACAAAAAUUUGAAUUAUUGCAUCUUAGUAAUUGAGGUUUGGAAACAAAUAAAGGGAGCCUGUAGAGAGCAGAAGACAUUGGAAGAUUAAAUUCAGAAGUUAGGUAUUACUGGUCUAUUCAAAUUAUUUUUUAAACAGAUUUCUUUCUUUUUUUUUUUCUUUUUGUAGCUCUGCAACCGUUUUUAGUUUGAAUAAAGUGAUUCAGU
ensembl:lncRNA